UACGUAGGGGGCAGGCGUUGUCCGGAAUCAUUGGGCGUAAAGAGCGUGUAGGCGGUUUAGUAAGUCUGCUGUGAAAGUCCAGGGCUCAACCCUGGGAUGCCGGUGGAUACUGCUGGGCUAGAGUACGGAAGAGGCGAGUGGAAUUCCCGGUGUAGCGGUGAAAUGCGCAGAUAUCGGGGGGAACACCUAUUGCGAAGGCAGCUCGCUGGGACGUCACUGACGCUGAGACGCGAAAGCGUGGGGAGCAAACAGG
rnacentral:rRNA from 1 species